GUGUAUGUGUGUGUAUUUGUGCGCUCACUUGUCUGAUGCAUUUGACUGUGUUUUAUCCAACUGCCCAGAAGCAAAUGUGUUAACUCGGCGGUGUGCCCUCGAUGCCCGGCUUCUCACAGAGCGCAGAGGACGCCCAAACCCAUUUUCCAGGCUGGAUUCGGAAGAGCAGCUCAGCUGUCGACCCCUGUGUGUGGAUCGCUUUACUUAGAGGCUGGGAAAGCUCCAGUAUUAACCUGCUUCCAGGUACAUCACAAGGUCACCAGAGGGUCUUGCAACCGUCUUGUGUCUGUGCAUCCAGACCUUCCUGUCUCGGCCAGAAAGAUAUUUACAUUUCGGUCUACAUAAUUUGAAGCUAAAAGUUCAGCCUGUCGAGCGGCUUUCUGCACAAUCAAGGUAACAAGAAUUGUCUGUCAAACUGCUUACCAAAAUCCCCGACUCUUCGACUCUUCCUCGCCGGUUCCUGGCUCUCUCCUCUACACCAAAAUGUCACCAGCUCUUGAAUUACGUGGAUUUGGGUUGGAAGAGAACUUGAAGAAAACGUGAUAGAAAGGCUAUGCCAGACCACUCUCUCUGCUGUCCUUGGUCCGGUGGACAUCGAAGCCGACCGUGAGAAGGACCAGUACCCUCCUUGCUUUUCCUUCCCGGUGCUGUACUCUGUGUGUGUGUGUGUGUGCAAGUGUGUGUGUGCAAGUGUGAAUGCGAGUGCGCGCGCGCCUGGCUGCGAGUGUGUGUGUGUGCUUGAGUGUGUGUCUGUGUGUGCGUGCGCGGCCGCCCUGCCUCUGCCCGCUCCCCGGGUGCAGAAACGCGGGUUUCAUGGGGCGAUCGCCGCGGAUCCCCCACCCAGCGCGACCUGCGGGCAGCGGAGGUAGUGGCAGGAGCCGCCUCUCGGACUCCCUAGGAUGCGGGUGCUGAGCUAUGGCAAAGGGCAGCGAAGUGACGAGCGAGACCCGCGUACGCCUGUGAAAGCCACCUGGAGCCACCUUGCUGGGAUGGUACCUGCUGGCNNNNNNNNNNNNNNNNNNNNNNNNNNNNNNNNNNNNNNNNNNNNNNNNNNNNNNNNNNNNNNNNNNNNNNNNNNNNNNNNNNNNNNNNNNNNNNNNNNNGCCUGUGAAAGCCACCUGGAGCCACCUUGCUGGGAUGGUACCUGCUGGCAGAAAGUCUUCCUACGACCGUCUUUCCUCUGGAGGCACCAGAGUCCCUGUAACCAUUCUGCCAGGUGUUUGGGAAGAUAUGUAGUAGCUGAGCACCCUUACUUCUGUCGCCAUCCUCAAAAUCAACUUUGGAGAUGCUUUCACCCUGUCCGUCUUCUGCAGCAGCCAGGCAGAGUGCUGACUCCUUCUCUGCAGUGAGGAACUCUUCAGGCUCCAGAAGUAAGUUGAACACAUUCAGUUUGGUCAUUGCCUGUGAGUUUAAAAACACUUUAGGUGAGGCUAACUAGAAAUCUUGCUAAUUAAUAUACAAAUUAAAAGCCAAUAUUAUUCAUCGCUGAAUAUUUCUUUUAUUUUUUGAGUCUUGUCUUUUUGGAGAUACAAUUUCUACCACAUUGAUGUUGCUAACCUAUACUUUUAUGGAAUAUUCAAAAAUUUUUUUGAGAUUUCACUUGUGUUAUCACAAAUUGUAUUUGCAGUCUUGAGGCAUAGAUGUGGGAGAGAUUAGCAUAAUAAUGGUUGCACAUGAAUAAAUAGAUUCAUGAUGACCAAGUAUCUUAUCAAAGUUCCUUAGUUGAUGAGUUAUGAAGAUGGAAUAAAAUCCCUGGUUUUUUGAUACUUGAAACUCUAGUACUCCUUCCAGGUCUGUGAUCCCUGUUGCUUCAUAGAAGGUAAGGGACUGGUGUUAGAAAUAGUACUAUUCUUGAUUGGUCGAUUUACUGAAUGACAUGUUCUCUGUGUCACUGAAGGAGAGUUAUGGCAGCCUGUACAUAUGCAUUCAGAAAAACUAAGGACAAGGGAAAUCCUAUGUAGGAAGUUAAAGGGAAAAGAGGGAUAUGAAGAGUUUGCAAAUUAUAUAGCCUAAUAUAUUGUGUAUACCACCCGAAACCAAAUUCCCAACUACGUGUUUAUCUCUCUUCUUUCUAGUUGCUGGAUAAAUCAGGUAAAUACAUUAAUUACACGAUUAUUUAUAUUCACAGUGUUUGAUAGUAAAGACAGUUUAUUUUGAACUUUAAACUUUCCUGGUCCAUAUGUUAGAUUCUAUCUUUUUGCCGUUUUUCUAGUUUAUUUGGUUUAAAUUUAGAAUAUUUCUUUUUUACUUCUCCAAAACUCUUGAUUUAAGCGCCUCUUGCUGCUGUUCAGAAUAUAUUUGUAU
rnacentral:lncRNA from 1 species